ACGUAGGAUCCGAGCGUUGUCCGGAAUUACUGGGCGUAAAGGGCUCGUAGGCGGCCAAUUAAGUCACUCGUGAAAUCCCCAGGCUUAACCUGGGAACUGCGUGUGAUACUGGAUGGCUUGAAUUCGGGAGAGGGAUGCAGAAUUCCAGGUGUAGCGGUGAAAUGCGUAGAUAUCUGGAGGAAUACCGGUGGCGAAGGCGGCAUCCUGGACCGACAUUGACGCUGAGGAGCGAAAGCUAGGGGAGCAAACGGGA
rnacentral:rRNA from 1 species